rnacentral:rRNA from 1 species
UACGUAGGGUGCAAGCGUUGUCCGGAAUUAUUGGGCGUAAAGAGCUCGUAGGCGGUCUGUCGCGUCUGCUGUGAAAACUCAGGGCUUAACCCUGAGCUUGCAGUGGGUACGGGCAGACUAGAGUGCGGUAGGGGAGACUGGAAUUCCUGGUGUAGCGGUGAAAUGCGCAGAUAUCAGGAGGAACACCGGUGGCGAAGGCGGGUCUCUGGGCCGUAACUGACGCUGAGGAGCGAAAGCAUGUGAGCGAACAGG